rnacentral:rRNA from 1 species
UCGAGAAUUUCUCACAAUGGGCGCAAGCCUGAUGGAGCGACGCCGCGUGGGGGAUGAAUGGCUUCGGCCCGUAAACCCCUGUCAUUUGCGAACAAAUUGCUCAACCUAACACGUGGAGCAUUGAUAGUAGCGAAAGAGGAAGGGACGGCUAACUCUGUGCCAGCAGCCGCGGUAAUACAGAGGUCCCAAGCGUUGUUCGGAUUCACUGGGCGUAAAGGGUGCGUAGGUGGUAGGGUAAGUCGGAUGUGAAAGCUCGGAGCUCAACUCCGAAAUGGCAUUGGAAACUACCCAACUAGAGGGUCGGAGGGGGGACUGGAAUUCUUGGUGUAGCAGUGAAAUGCGUAGAUAUCAAGAGGAACACCAGUGGCGAAGGCGAGUCCCUGGACGACUCCUGACACUGAGGCACGAAAGCUAGGGGAGCAAACAG